UUGACGGCUUAUGCCGCCGGGGGAUAGCUCCGGUGUGAGAAUGAGUACAGGCCGUUACAAGGUUUAACAAUGGAGGAUAAGUAUUUAGUGCUCAAAAUAGGUAUUACCUCAUAAUGAUAACCUAGGCCUCAUAUUUAUAGUACUCACCACCUUAGAAUCCUUCUCCCAGUCGGAUUAGGACUCCUAGUAUAUGGUAAUUACCAUAACUUGGGUCCAACGCCAUCUCCUUAAAAGGUGCAAGUAGAGUCCAAUCUCAUCACCACCUUUGGAGUUACCUUAUAUGCAUAUGAAUAGGUACCCGGACUCUGCA
rnacentral:lncRNA from 1 species